rnacentral:rRNA from 1 species
AUUGAACGCUGGCGGCAGGCCUAACACAUGCAAGUCGAACGAGUGGCGGACGGGUGAGUAAUGUCUGGGAACCUGCCCGAUGGCGGGGGAUAACUACUGGAAACGGUAGCUAAUACCGCAUACCAUCGGAUGUGCCCAGAUCGGAUUAGCUAGUUGGUGGGGUAACGGCUCACCAAGGCGACGAUCCCUAGCUGGUCUGAGAGGAUGACCAGCCACACUGGGACUGAGACACGGCCCAGACUCCUACGGGAGGCAGCAGUGGGGAAUAUUGGACAAUGGGCGAAAGCCUGAUGCAGCCAUGCCGCGUGUAUGAAGAAGGCCUUCGGGUUGUAAAGUACUUUCGGCGAGGAGGCGUUACUCGCAGAAGAAGCACCGGCUAACUCCGUGCCAGCAGCCGCGGUAAUUC